GAAAAGGAAAAGGGAUAUGUUGGCCUGAAAUUAAGAGCUGGCUGAAUUGAAAGCCAAGAACUCGCGUGGAUUGAUCAGUUGAUGACCGCCAUCGAAAAUCUUGCUUUAUUAGUUCAAAUAAUCGCUAAAAGCUAUUCUAAGUGGUUUACAACUAUCACUGCUAGUGAAAUCAACAAAAUGUACAAUGGCAUUGGUCUAACAACAGCUCGGGGUUCUGGAACAAAUGGAUAUGUCAGUAGGAACCUGGCAUUUGUGCAUACAACAAAGGAUAAAGUCAAGUAUAAAACAGAAGAAGAGAUUCAAAGGUUGGAUUCCAUCUCACACAAAAAACCAAAUCUGGAGAUUUUGGAUCAUGAGCGGAAACGGAAAUUGGAGCUGAAGUGCCUUGAAUUAAGAGAAGAUUUAGAGGAACAAGGGAUAGACGAGGAUAUCAUUGAAUCGAAAUUAGCCGAGUUCCGCGCUUCACUGGUGCAGAAAGAUGCAGAAAACGGCAAAGAUACAACAACCUACGAAACAGAUGAAUAUGGCCGGAUAGUUGUCCGGGAAACUCAUCAGAUAGCUGCUGCACAAGAAGAAAAGAACCGUAGUCUUCGCCAAGCGUUUGGUAUUAGCGAAUACUUCAUCGAAGGUAGUAGUUUGGAUCCCAAUCGCAAAAUUCGCGAAACUGCUGCUAAACAAGCAGCUGAACAAAAAACCUAUACGAUCGUUCGAACGCCGAGUCCGGAGCCUCAGGAAGAAUCCCAGGUUCCCGAAGUUGUUUCUGUUGCUCCACCUAAGUCCAAAAAGAGCAAGAAAUCGAAGAGCAAAAAAAGUAAGAAGAAUAAGAAGAAAGUGGAUACAGAAUCAGAUGAUGAAGAAGAUCAAGAAGAACCUAAAGAGAAAACCAAAUCGCGAAAAUCUCUUGAUUCUUCUGAUACCAGAAAAUCCGAUUCCAAAUACAACGAUCGCCCUGUAAGUCGUACGGAAUCUUCUAAGCCAUCACGCCACCGUCAUGAUACUCCAAGUCCUCCUCGUCGGCGCGCAGGGGAAGAAUCACAAAAUCGCAAGCGUCGUGCAAGUUCAGAAAGAGAAGAAGAGAAUCCAAGCCGAGGUAGACGGGAUGAAGUUGAAAGAAAGAAAACGAGAGAAGAUUCCCAGCUUAAUGCCGACAAAAAAGAUAGUUCCAAUAAUAGGAGGGAAAGUCGUUAUGCCCGUUCUUCCUACAGAUCUCCGGAAAGAAGCAACCGAAAUGACUCACGAAGUGAUCGAGACCGCCGCGAUAAUUACCAUCACUCCACACGUCGCGAAGAUAACAAUCGACCCGAUGUGUCUAAAAGCGGACACAGAGAAGUCGAAAGAAAACAAGACGAGAAAGAGAAUCGUGAAGUUCAAGGACACACACAGUCUAAGCAAUACGUUACAGAAGAUCGCGGUCGUCGUGAAUCUGAAAGGCCUUCCGACUUGGUAGCGAACAAGACAGUCGAUGAGCCGGUGCAGUUGACUGAGAAAGUUUCAAAUUCAAAAGCGGAAUCAGAACCACCCAUUGUGGAACAAAAAAAGAAAGAGAUGACCACCAGUCAACAAACGGAAAAAAUGAAAGCUGAUUUAGCCAAACUAGGAUCAUUCAUAGACCAAAUUGGGCGAUCGAAGAAGAAAAAGUCUCGACACGAUUCAAGUCGAUCGUCAUCUUCUUCCAGUUCGUCGUCAAGCUCUGAUUCGUCCGAUUCGGAUGAUACUUCUUCUUCUGACUCGGAUUCUUCUUCUUCGUCCUCGUCGUCAUCAUCAUCCUCUUAUUCGUCCUCAUCGUCGUCAACACCGUCAAAAACUUCUGCUCCUCGUUCCAAAGAUAAACGUUCACCAUCUCCUCCUCGUCGAUCAGGGUCGCCUAGCUGGAAGGACCGUAGGCGUAUCACCAGCGACUUUUAAUGGGAUGUGUCUCCUUAGAAUGGCAAGUGCCAGGAAAAAACCAGUUCCAUAUCAAAGGUGCGCACCUGCCUGGAGUACGUCUAGCUCAACAGAAAGCAUAGACUCUUCCUGGAGAAGCAAUUCUAGUU
rnacentral:misc_RNA from 1 species